UACGUAGGCAGCAAGCGUUGUUCGGAGUUACGGGGUGUAAAGCGCGUGCAGGCGGUGGGCUAAGUUGGGUGUGAAAGCUCCUGGCUCAACUGGGAGAGGUCGCUCAAGACUGGCCGACUGGAGAGCAGUAAGGGAAGGUGGAAUUCCGGGUGUAGUGGUGAAAUGCGUAGAUAUCCGGAGGAACACCAGUGGCGAAGGCGGCCUUCUGGACUGCUUCUGACGCUCAGACGCGAAAGCUAGGGGAGCAAACGGG
rnacentral:rRNA from 1 species